GUAUCGUUGCCCAGUACUGACUCUUAAUCAGUGGGUCCUGGGUUCGAGUCCCCGAUGGUGCACCA
rnacentral:tRNA from 1 species